rnacentral:rRNA from 1 species
AUUGAACGCUGGCGGCAGGCCUAACACAUGCAAGUCGAGCGAGCGGCGGACGGGUGAGUAAUGUAUCGGGACUGCGCGAUAGCGGGGGAUAACAACUGGAAAAGGUAGGUAAUACCGCAUAAUAUCGGAUUACCCAGAGGGGAUUAGCUAGUAGGUGAGGUAAUGGCUCACCUAGGGGACGAUCCCUAGCUGGUCUGAGAGGAUGAUCAGCCACACUGGGACUGAGACACGGCCCAGACUCCUACGGAGGCAGCAGUGGGGAAUAUUGCACAAUGGGCGCAAGCCUGAUGCAGCCAUGCCGCGUGUAUGAAGAAGGCCCUCGGGUUGUAAAGUACUUUCAGUCGGGAGGCGUUACCGACAGAAGAAGCACCGGCUAACUCCGUGCCAGCAGCCGCGGUAAUUC